rnacentral:lncRNA from 1 species
AUUCAAGUCAUGAUGAGCCCAACCUUCAUCGCAACAAGCUCAAUGUGGAAUGUGGUCAUUCAGGUCAUGUUGAGCUCACCUAGUUCAACUAUGUAAGUCAUUGGAACCUCAUUUUGGCCUACCACACGUCUUGUACGAAGGAACAUAGUGACGUGAGCCACACAUUAACUCAGUUCCACGUUAUCUGCACGAAUGAGUGACAUGGGUUACGUGUGCCUCAACCCCAGGUGUCCUUUACGGGCGAGCUGCAUGCAAAUAUUAAAGUCAUAGCUUAUUGGAUCUAGACAUCCAAAUGCGAGGAAAGAUCCAAUAAAUCAAUGAAUGAUGGACUAUAAAAGGAGACACGUAAGAGGAAAAAAAGGACAUAUCCAUGAUAUUGUAAACGGUGUAUUCAAUCCUAGUCAUUGUUAAAAUGCUCUUAAAAUCUAUUAAAACAUUACAGAGUUCACUCAUGGUUAUUACAUACGUGAACACCUUCAUAUUUGACAUGAAUUGAUGCAAGAUAUUUUCUUAUUCUACAUAUAUCUGAUUUCUGUUCAUUGGACAGCAUAAAUAAAUUCUCAGAGUGCAC